UUCCGGAUGAAGUCGGGCAGUAGUAAAAAAAAAAAAAAAAUCUGGUAGCCAUGAAUUUCAGCUAGCUUGCCACCGACAACUGGUUGGUACACUUGAGUAAGUCCAUCCAUGUCAAGACACAAGAAGGAUUUUCGUAGUCCUACGCUGCUUCUGAGUACAUAUAGGACCUCUCCAUCCCGCCUAUCGCCCUGCUGUGAAUCGGAUCUGGCUGGCUCACCGAAGAGACUGCAAGACGUUGGUGCAGAGCUUUUCCAGUUAACUU